rnacentral:rRNA from 1 species
UACGUAGGGUGCAAGCGUUAUCCGGAAUUAUUGGGCGUAAAGAGCUCGUAGGCGGUUUGUCGCGUCUGCCGUGAAAGUCCGGGGCUCAACCCCGGACUUGCAGUGGGUACGGGCAGACUAGAGUGUGGUAGGGGAGACUGGAAUUCCUGGUGUAGCGGUGAAAUGCGCAGAUAUCAGGAGGAACACCGAUGGCGAAGGCAGGUCUCUGGGCCACUACUGACGCUGAGAAGCGAAAGCAUGGGGAGCGAACAGG